rnacentral:rRNA from 1 species
CCUACGGGUGGCAGCAGUGGGGGAUAUUGCACAAUGGGGGAAACCCUGAUGCAGCGACGCCGCGUGUGGGAAGACGGUCCUCUGGAUUGUAAACCACUGUCCCCAGGGACGAAGAUGACGGUACCUGGGGAGGAAGCUCCGGCUAACUACGUGCCAGCAGCCGCGGUAAUACGUAGGGAGCGAGCGUUGUCCGGAAUUACUGGGUGUAAAGAGUUGCGUAGGUGGCAUAAUAAGUAGCUAGUGAAAUCUGGUGGCUCAACCAUUCAGACUAUUAGCUAAACUGUUAAGCUCGAGACCGUUUGGGGUAACUGGAAUUUCUAGUGUAGGAGUGAAAUCCGUAGAUAUGAGAAGGAACACCAAUAGCGUAGGCAGGUUGCUGGGACGGUUCUGACACUAAGGCACGAAAGCGUAGGGAGCAAACGGGAUUAGAUACCCCUGUAGUC